rnacentral:rRNA from 1 species
CGGAGGGUGCAAGCGUUAUCCGGAUUCACUGAGUUUAAAGGGUGCGUAGGUGGGCAAGUAAGUCAGUGGUGAAAUCUCCGGGCUUAACCCGGAAACUGCCAUUGAUACUAUUUGUCUUGAAUACUGUGGAGGUCAGCGGAAUAUGUCAUGUAGCGGUGAAAUGCUUAGAUAUGACAUAGAACACCAAUUGCGAAGGCAGCUGGCUACACAAUAUUGACACUGAGGCACGAAAGCGUGGGGAUCAAACAGGAUUAGAUACCCUGGUAGUCCACGCCCUAAACUAUGGAUACUCGACAUUUGCGAUAAACUGCAAGUGUCUGAGCGAAAGCAUUAAGUAUCCCACCUGGGAAGUACGAUCGCAGGAUUG